AGAGGCUCACGGCUUUGCUAGGAACAGAUUAACAAGGAGUCUAACAGGAAAUAGAAAGGCAGCAGAAUUCAGGCUUUGGCCUAAGAACCACCAUGGGCAAAUCCUUCCUUGGCCGGGCACCUUCUAUGACCUUGGCAGCUCCAAAUGACCCUGGGUGAUGUUUGACGAGCUCCUGUGAACCUCGACAAAUGGGGUCCUGACCACAGCUCUGUGAGAAAACAGUGGGUGAUCUGAGAGAGAGAGCUGAACCUGGCUGAGAAAAACAAGCACCCUAUGUGACUACUCAGAAAUAGAGACCGCCUAUUUGCAGCAACAGAGAAGAGAGAACCAAACAUGUGAAGAGACCCAAAGGUUUUUUGGCAGGAGUAAAAGAUCUCUCCGUUCUCAUUUAUUUUGUGAAGAAUGGCACAUUGGUGGGCAUGAGGGCUGCAUAAAGGGUGCUUCAUAAAGAACAGAGAGAGGAAGAAACUGACAAGAAAGGACCUCCAUUUAAUUCAGUCAAGAGAACUGUGGGUUCACACAGAAUAAGCUGUCCUUGGAGAAUGGAUUUGCCCUGUUUAAUUGUUACACCAGUUCUACCUUUUGUGAGCAGGGUGCCCUUGGACAAAUUAACCUCUCUGAGAGUUAGUUUCUUCGUCAGUAAAAUAAAGAUAAUUUUUAAGAUCUGGUUCCA